GAUGAACGCUGGCGGCGUGCCUAAUACAUGCAAGUCGAACGCACAGCGAAAGGUGCUUGCACCUUUCAAGUGAGUGGCGAACGGGUGAGUAACGCGUGAGAAACCUGCCUUUCACAAAGGGAUAGCCUCGGGAAACUGGGAUUAAUACCUUAUGAUACUUACAUUUCACAUGAGAAGUAAGUUAAAGCGCAAAGCGGUAGAAAGAUGGUCUCGCGUCCCAUUAGUUAGUUGGUGAGGUAACGGCUCACCAAGACCGCGAUGGGUAGCCGGCCUGAGAGGGUGAACGGCACACUGGAACUGAGACACGGUCUAGACUCCUACGGGA
rnacentral:rRNA from 1 species